rnacentral:rRNA from 1 species
CCUACGGGAGGCAGCAGUAGGGAAUAUUGCUCAAUGGGGGAAACCCUGAAGCAGCAACGCCGCGUGGAGGAUGAAGGUUUUCGGAUUGUAAACUCCUGUUGUCAGAGAAGAUAAUGACGGUAUCUAAAGAAUAAGCACCGGCUAACUACGUGCCAGCAGCCGCGGUAAUACGGAGGGUGCAAGCGUUACUCGGAAUCACUGGGCGUAAAGAGAGCGUAGGCGGGAUAGCAAGUCAGAUGUGAAAUCCUAUGGCUUAACCAUAGAACUGCAUUUGAAACUGUAAGUCUAGAGUAUGGGAGAGGUAGGUGGAAUUCUUGGUGUAGAGGUAAAAUCCGUAGAGAUCAAGAGGAAUACUCAUUGCGAAGGCGACCUGCUAGAACAUAACUGACGCUGAUGCGCGAAAGCGUGGGGAGCAAACAGGAUUAGAUACCCGUGUAGUC